rnacentral:tRNA from 1 species
GCCUGGCUGGCUCAGUUGUUAGAGCAUAUGACUCUUGAUCUUGGGGUUGUGAGUUUGAGCCCCAUGUUGGGGG